rnacentral:rRNA from 1 species
AAUAAAUGUAUUAAUAUAUAGAAGAAAUUAAAUGAUAAAUCAUUAAAUUUAAAAGAUUUGGCAGUAUUUAAUAUUUAGAGGAACCUGUAUAGUAAUUGAUGAUCCACGAUAAGAUAUACUUAAUUUUAAAUUUAUGUAUUGCUGUUUUAAAUAUUUAAUUAAGUUAGAUAAUAAUAUAAUUUAUAAUAUUUUUUAAUGUAAUAAAGUAAUUCAAGUCAAAAUAUAGUUUAAUUAAGAUUUAAUAUGGGUUACAAUUAAUUUAAUUAUUGGAUUAAAAAAUUUAAUUUUUUUAUGAAAUUGGAUUUAAAAGUAAAUUUAAUUAAUUAAUUAAAUUGAAUAAUAAAUUAAAUAUGU